GACGAACGCUGGCGGCGUGCCUAAUACAUGCAAGUAGGACGCAGUUGCGAACGGGUGAGUAACGCGUAGGUAACUACCUAUUAGAGGGGGAUAACUAUUGGAACCGAUAGCUAAUAACGCAUACUCGUAGCUUUCCCUUCGUUGUAUUAGCUAGUAGGGAGGGUAAUGGCCUACCUAGGCAACGAUACAUAGCCGAGCUGAGAGGGUGAUCGGCCAAACUGGGACUGAAGAACCGCCCAGACUGCUACGGGAGGCAGCAGUAGGGAAUGUGCGGCAAGGGGGGGAACCCUGACCGAGCAACGCCGCGGGAGUGAAGAAGGUUGUCGGAGCGUAAAGCUCUGUUGGUAAGGAAGCGGUACUUAAACAGAAAGGGACGGCUAACUCCGUGCCAGCAGCCGCGGUAAUUC
rnacentral:rRNA from 1 species